rnacentral:rRNA from 1 species
GAUGAACGCUGGCGGCGUGCCUAACACAUGCAAGUCGAGCGGAGAGCGGCGAAGUAGCAAUACGGAGCCGGUUUCAGCGGCGGACGGGUGAGUAACACGUGAGCAAUCUGCCUUCUGCUGGGGAAUAACAUUGUGAAAACAGUGCUAAUACCGCAUAAAAUCCGACCGGGGCAUCCCGGAUGGAUCAAAGGAGCAAUCCGGCAGGAGAUGAGCUCGCGUCCGAUUAGCUGGUUGGCGGGUAACGGCCCACCAAGGCGACGAUCGGUAGCCGAACUGAGAGGUUGAUCGGCCACAUUGGGACUGAGACACGGCCCAGACUCCUACGGGUGGCAG